CAGGCCUAACACAUGCAGUCGAGCGCGAAUUUAGGCUUCGGCCUAAUAGUAGAGCGGCAGACGGGGAGUAACACGCGGGUAAUCUACCUAGAGGUUUGGGAUAACCCGGGGAAAUCGGGCUAAUACCGGAUACGACAGGGCAACGAAAGUUGUUUUGGGAAAGGGGGGACCUUUUCGAAGGCCUCGCACCUUUAGAUGAGCUUGCGGCCCAUAGCUAGUUGGCGGGGUAAAGGCCCACCAAGGCUAAGACGGGUAGCUGGUUGAGAGGAUGAUCAGCCACACUGGAACUGAGACACGGUCCAGACUCCUAGGGAGGCAGCAGUGGGGAAUAUUGCGCAAUGGGCGAAAGCCUGACGCAGAACGCCGUGUGAGUGAUGAAGGCCCUCGGGUCGUAAAACUCUGUCGGCAGGACGAUGGGGUUCUAGUUUAAUACGCUAGAGCUUUGACGGUACCUGCAAGGAAGCACCGGCUAACUCUGUGCCAGCAUCCGCGGUAAU
rnacentral:rRNA from 1 species